ACUCGAGUCCUCUAAGACUUAGUUUGGUAUUUAAGUAUAUCUUAUGCUAUUAAAUAAAAGCAUAUAAAGAUAUGCUUCUGCGUUUUUCAAUAAAAUCGCAUAAAAUAUAUCAUAAUCGAUUCAUCGCGAUAUGCGAAAUACAAUAUUAUUUAUGAAAACAAACAUAAUAUUUUUUUAUCGUACUUUCUCACCGCACGUAACCAAUCUCUUGAUUCUCUUCUCCACCAUCAGAACCCAAACACUCAUCUUCAUCCUCUUCCCCUCGAUCGCCAUUAUCUCUCUCUCUCUCUCUCUCUCUCUUUCUCUCUCUCUCUCUCUCUAAUUAUCCUG
rnacentral:lncRNA from 1 species